GAUGAAUGCUGGCGGCGCGCCUAACACAUGCAAGUCGAGCGGUAACAUGGACUUCGGUCUGAUGACGAGCGGCGGACGGCUGAGUAACGCGUGGGAACAUGCCCCAAAGUGAGGAAUAACUGCCCGAAAGGGUGGCUAAUGCCGCAUAUGAUCUUCGGAUUAAAGGAUUUAUCCGCUUUGGGAGUGGCCUGCGUACGAUUAGGUAGUUGGUGAGGUAAUGGCUCACCAAGCCUACGAUCGUUAACUGGUCUGAGAGGAUGAUCAGUCAGACUGGAACUGAGACACGGUCCAGACUCCUACGGGAGGCAGCAGUGAGGAAUCUUCCACAAUGGGCGAAAGCCUGAUGGAGCGACGCCGCGUGCAGGAUGAAGGCCUUCGGGUUGUAAACUGCUUUUAUAAGUGAAGAAUAUGACGGUAACUUAUGAAUAAGCACCGGCUAACUACGUGCCAGCCGCCGCAGUA
rnacentral:rRNA from 1 species